rnacentral:rRNA from 1 species
UGUACCCGCGGCAAGACGGAAAGACCCCGUGAACCUUUACUAUAGCUUGACACUGAACAUUGAGCCUUGAUGUGUAGGAUAGGUGGGAGGCUUUGAAGUGUGGACGCCAGUCUGCAUGGAGCCGGCCUUGAAAUACCACCCUUUAAUGUUUGAUGUUCUAACGUUGGCCCCUGAUCGGGGUUGCGGACAGUGUCUGGUGGGUAGUUUGACUGGGGCGGUCUCCUCCUAAAGAGUAACGGAGGAGCACGAAGGUUGGCUAAUCCUGGUCGGACAUCAGGAGGUUAGUGCAAUGGCAUAAGCCAGCUUGACUGCGAGCGUGACGGCGCGAGCAGGUGCGAAAGCAGGUCAUAGUGAUCCGGUGGUUCUGAAUGGAAGGGCCAUCGCUCAACGGAUAAAAGGUACUCCGGGGAUAACAGGCUGAUACCGCCCAAGAGUUCAUAUCGACGGCGGUGUUUGGCACCUCGAUGUCGGCUCAUCACAUCCUGGGGCUGAAGUAGGUCCCAAGGGUAUGGCUGUUCGCCAUUUAAAGUGGUACGCGAGCUGGGUUUAGAACGUCGUGAGACAGUUCGGUCCCUAUCUGCCGUGGGCGCUGGAGAACUGAGGGGGGCUGCUCCUAGUACGAGAGGACCGGAGUGGACGCAUCACUGGUGUUCGGGUUGUCAUGCCAAUGGCACUGCCCGGUAGCUAAAUGCGGAAGAGAUAAGUGCUGAAAGCAUCUAAGCACGAAACUUGCCCCGAGAUGAGUUCUCCCUGAGACUUUAAGUCUCCUGAAGGAACGUUGAAGACGACGACGUUGAUAGGCCGGGUGUGUAAGCGCAGCGAUGCGUUGAGCUAACCGGUACUAAUGAACCGUGAGGCUUAACCUUACAACGCCGAAGGUGUUU